rnacentral:rRNA from 1 species
GAUAUAUGACGAGCUUCGAUAUCGAGCGAGCGGCGGACGGGUGUGUAAUGCGUAGGAAGCUGCCCGAUAGAGGGGGAUACCAGUUGGAAACGACUGUUAAUACCGCAUAAUGUCUACGGACCAAAGUGUGGGACCUUCGGGCCACAUGCUAUCGGAUGCGCCUACGUGGGAUUAGCUAGUUGGGGAGGUAAUGGCUCACCAAGGCGACGAUCUCUAGCUGGUUUGAGAGGAUGAUCAGCCACACUGGAACUGAGCCACGGUCCAAACUAAUACGGGAGGCAGCAGUGGGGAAUAUUGGACAAUGGGCGCAAGCCUGAUCCAGCCAUGCCGCGUGUGUGAAGAAGGCCUUCGGGUUGUAAAGCACUUUCAGCGAGGAGGAAGGGAUGUAUGUUAAUAGCAUGCAUUUUUGACGUUUACUCGCAGAAGAAGCACCGGCUAACUCUGUGCCAGCAGCCGCGGUAAUACAGAGGGUGCAAGCGUUAAUCGGAAUUACUGGGCGUAAAGCGCACGUAGGCGGUUAGUUAAGUUGGAUGUGAAAGCCCCGGGCUCAACCUGGGAAUUGCAUUCAAAACUGGCUAACUAGAGUAUGUGAGAGGGGGGGUAGAAUUCCAAGUGUAGCGGUGAAAUGCGUAGAGAUUUGGAGGAAUACCAGUGGCGAAGGCGGGCCCCUGGCACAAAUACUGACGCUGAGGUGCGAAAGCGUGGGGGAGCAAACAGGAUUAGAUACCCUGGUAGUCCACGCCGUAAAACGAUGUCUACUAGCUGUUCGUGGUCUUGGACCUGUGAGUAGCGCACCUAACGCACUAAGUAGACCGCCUGGGGGAGUACGGUCGCAAGAUUAAAACUCCAAUGGAUUUGAGGGGGGGCCCGCACAAGCGGGUGGGAGCAUGGGG